ACAAAGCGUACAUGCUGCACAUCAACAUGCUGGAGAAGGUCCGAGAAGACUGGCAGAGUGAACACAUUAAGGCCUGCGAGGUAGGUGCCUGGGACCGGAAGCAGCUUGGGAUGGGGCACGUCUUCCUUCUAGAACCCGAGAAGGGAUUUAGCACAUUGUGUUUCAUUCAGUCACUGAGCAUGAGGAGGGAGUUGGAAAUGGAGCACUGAAGUAAAGAACGGAAGGGAUCGGAAUAAUUUCCUCUCGUCUUCAUCUUUUCGCUUCCUCCCCAUCCUGACCUCACUGUCCAGCUCAGUCCAGAGGUUUAGUCUAAUAUUUGGUUAGCCCAGACAUGAGACGGCUACAUCA
rnacentral:lncRNA from 1 species